UCUCCGUUGGUGAACCAGCGGAGGGAUCAUUACCGAGUUUACAACUCCCAAACCCCUAUGUGAACGUUACCAAACUGUUGCCUCGGCGGGAAAUUCAUGCCCCGGGCGCGUCGCAGCCCCGGACCAAGGCGCCCGCCGGAGGACCAACCAAAACUCUUUUGUAUGUCCCUCGCGGACUUUUAUAAUUCUGAACCAUCUCGGCGCCCCUAGCGGGCGUUCCGAAAAUGAAUCAAAACUUUCAACAACGGAUCUCUUGGUUCUG
rnacentral:misc_RNA from 1 species